UACGGGGGGGGGCAAGCGUUGUUCGGAAUUACUGGGCGUAAAGGGCUCGUAGGCGGCCAACUAAGUCGGAUGUGAAAUCCCCAGGCUUAACCUGGGAACUGCAUCCGAUACUGGAUGGCUUGAAUCCGGGAGAGGGAUGCAGAAUUCCAGGUGUAGCGGUGAAAUGCGUAGAUAUCUGGAGGAACACCGGUGGCGAAGGCGGCAUCCUGGACCGAUAUUGACGCUGAGGAGCGAAAGCCAGGGGAGCAAACGGG
rnacentral:rRNA from 1 species